AGCCUUCUGUAUCCGUGCUGAGAUUUCGUCACACACCAGAUUACGAGGACUGAUGAGACAUCCAAGAUAAAUGAAGCG
rfam:Schistosoma haematobium scaffold1671_10, whole genome shotgun sequence.